rnacentral:rRNA from 1 species
GGAACUGAGACACGGUCCAGACACCUACGGGUGGCAGCAGUCGAGAAUCAUUCACAAUGGGGGAAACCCUGAUGGUGCGACGCCGCGUGGGGGAAUGAAGGUCUUCGGAUUGUAAACCCCUGUCAUGUGGGAGCAAAUUAAAAAGAUAGUACCACAAGAGGAAGAGACGGCUAACUCUGUGCCAGCAGCCGCGGUAAUACAGAGGUCUCAAGCGUUGUUCGGAAUCACUGGGCGUAAAGCGUGCGUAGGCUGUUUCGUAAGUCGUGUGUGAAAGGCGCGGGCUCAACCCGCGGACGGCACAUGAUACUGCGAGACUAGAGUAAUGGAGGGGGAACCGGAAUUCUCGGUGUAGCAGUGAAAUGCGUAGAUAUCGAGAGGAACACUCGUGGCGAAGGCGGGUUCCUGGACAUUAACUGACGCUGAGGCACGAAGGCCAGGGGAGCGAAAGGGAUUAGAUACCCCUGUAGUCCUGGCAGUAAACGGUGCACGCUUGGUGUGCGGGGAAUCGACCCCCUGCGUGCCGGAGCUAACGCGUUAAGCGUGCCGCCUGGGGAGUACGGUCGCAAGAUUAAAACUCAAAGAAAUUGACGGGGACCCGCACAAGCGGUGGAGUAUGUGGCUUAAUUCGAUGCAACGCGAAGAACCUUACCUGGGCUUGACAUGUAAUGAACAACAUGUGAAAGCAUGCGACUCUUCGGAGGCGUUACACAGGUGCUGCAUGGCCGUCGUCAGCUCGUGUCGUGAGAUGUUUGGUUAAGUCCAGCAACGAGCGCAACCCCUGUUGCCAGUUACCAGCACGUGAAGGUGGGGACUCUGGCGAGACUGCCCAGAUCAACUGGGAGGAAGGUGGGGACGACGUCAGGUCAGUAUGGCCCUUAUGCCCAGGGCUGCACACGUACUACAAUGCCCAGUACAGAGGGGGCCGAAGCCGCGAGGCGGAGGAAAUCCUGAAAACUGGGCCCAGUUCGGACUGUAGGCUGCAACCCGCCUACACGAAGCCGGAAUCGCUAGUAAUGGCGCAUCAGCUACGGCGCCGUGAAUACGUUCCCGGGUCUUGUACACACCGCCCGUCACAUCAUGGAAGCCGGUCGCACCCGAAGUAUCUGAAGCCAACCGCAAGGAGGCAGGGUCCUAAGGUGAGACUGGUAACUGGGAUGAAGUCGUAACAAGGUAGCCGUAGGGGAACCUGCGGCUG